GCCGUCAUUACAUAUAUACGUAUAUCUUUGAGGACAGCAUAAUUAAAAAUUGCACAGGCCUAAAAAGAGAUUUGGUAUAAGAACAUCCCAACUCAUACUGGUUAGAUUUUAUGCAAACUGACAUUUGUCAUUAUGACAUUUUCUGGCAAAUUAAAAAGUAGCCUACAUCAGCAACCAUCCAGCUUGUAUUGCAUUAGUAAUAAGUAAUAUGACAAUGUGAUUAACAUAAUAUAUACUUUGCAAGGGCACCAUCGCUGCAUCCUGAGCUUAGCACCGCCCAAGACGACUGUGAUUGGUUUGAAGAAAUACAAACAAGCUUUUGUUAGCUUUAUACUAUCUGUACCAGAAUGAUAAUGUGUGGAGCCAGACGUUUCUUUAGAGCUGACACAGCGCUGUGGAGAUAGAUCUGGCUAUGCAAGACUACAACACUCUCAUUCAUGGGCUCUCUCAUACCCCUUUCACACCGAGGACUCAACCAAGGUUGAACCAGGGUUGAUUGUGUGUAUGAAAGGGUUAACCCGCGUUGACUGACUCAGCUUCUCAACCCAGGUCACCGUGGCUCAUAAACAAACGGUGCCACAGCAGCAGGAAUGUUUUCCGACACACGACACGAGGGACGAGAACAACACGGAUGUGUGGCGAGACAUCGAGGUGCGGGAGCUUCUGGCCGUCCGCGGUGAAGAAGAAAAAAAGCGGUAGAUGACGUGAUGGAGAGAGAUAGAUGCUGUAAAUCUGUACAGCAUGUUGUCUGUAUGUUUUUGCAUACAUUACAGCUCCAUACAUACAACAUACGGUAGUUAAACUAAAAAUGCUGUGCAUGCAUUAUUCUGUGACAUUUUUGCACACAUUGAUGAUGCCACUAUCAUCUCCUCUCUCUAUAAUCCUCCACACCUGUAAACUCCCCCCCCCGGCUCAUAUCUAACACCUGAGCUAAGUGGUAUGCAUUGCUCCCGGGUGUGACCCAGAUCGUAUCUGAUAUCUGACCCGGGUUGACUGACUUGGUUUGAAUUGACAACAGGAGGGUUGAAUCAGGGUCAGACAACAGAGUGAAGUGCGACACCCAGUGGAAAUAUUCUGUAUACAGGUCGGGUCCGAUGUUUGGCUCACUUUAAAAAACGGUUUAAGCAUUUUUACACACGGCCCAACCCCACCAGUUAGAUCAGCCUCUAACCCGUAUCAGUUGGCCUCUACUGCCCAUUUAGUUCUGAAUGAAUUAAAAAGAAAUACUGCAGUUUUUAAUACACUUGCCAAUAUAUGCGUAGCCUGAUAUAAUGGCUCAGUAUCCACCUUUAUACUGACCUCACUAAACAGAUCAGGUAUCAGUGUUCGAUCCACAUUCACUGCUGUUUCAAUAUAAAACUGUAAUAACAGGAUUAUAUUAACUUUUGAAUGACAACAGAGAUUAGAAUAUGCACCAAAGGAAUGAUCCCACUCAGUAAUGGGAUCAGUGUGUUCCUAAUGAGUACGCCAACGGACAGACUUUAAAGCAAAGAAUGAAACCCACCUGCAGUUUGGCGGAGGGUCCAGUGUAAUAUCAGCCAGCUCUUUCUGAAUCCUGCACACAAAAGGAAUUCAAAUUUAGUCACACUGGCAAAACAUCAUUCUUAAAUAUUAAAUAAUGAAACGCA